rnacentral:rRNA from 1 species
UGGGGAAUAUUGCACAAUGGGCGCAAGCCUGAUGCAGCCAUGCCGCGUGUAUGAAGAAGGCCUUCGGGUUGUAAAGUACUUUCAGUCGGGAGGAAGGUGGUAAAGUUAAUACCUUUGCUCAUUGACGUUACCCGCAGAAGAAGCACCGGCUAACUCCGUGCCAGCAGCCGCGGUAAUACGGAGGGUGCAAGCGUUAAUCGGAAUUACUGGGCGUAAAGCGCACGCAGGCGGUUUGUUAAGUCAGAUGUGAAAUCCCCGGGCUCAACCUGGGAACUGCAUCUGAUACUGGCAAGCUUGAGUCUCGUAGAGGGGGGUAGAAUUCCAGGUGUAGCGGUGAAAUGCGUAGAGAUCUGGAGGAAUACCGGUGGCGAAGGCGGCCCCCUGGACAAAGACUGACGCUCAGGUGCGAAAGCGUGGGGAGCAAACAGG